GCCCAGGUGGCGGAAUUGGUAGACGCGCUAGCUUCAGGUGCUAGUUUCUGUAUGGAAGUGGAGGUUCGAGUCCUCUCCUGGGCACCA
rnacentral:tRNA from 1 species